AUGGCCUGGUUUCUGUAGGUGCCCAUGGGAGCCUACGGCAGAGUUUUACAAAGACACUGACAAGCCUCCUUUCCUCUUAUCUCUUGCAGAUGUUCACCUCCUAGAGAUCAGCUCCUGGGGCGGUGGACACUUAAAUCAGCAAGCAGAUGCAUGGAAAGAAAAGAGACCCAAGCAAUUGCUCAAAUAUCUCAUUGUGGAUACAGAUGGUAAUGAACAGCCACGGCCUGUGAGGUCAUCUCUGCAAGGCGUGCUGUUUCCUCCAGCUCCUUGGCUCUCUGGCUGCGACUCAGUGUUUAUGAUCGCACCAACGUGUGAGGAACGCGGUGUCGAAGAACAAGGCCCAGGCUGGCACCAAGGUACGUGUGGACGUGUUCUCGGGGAAAGCAGGCAAGGAGGCUGGUGGGGAUACCUGCGUGAGAGGUGCUCCCUCCAGCUCUUGGCAGGACAUCAAGUCCCGAAAGGAGGAGGAUGACCUGUCAUGUUCAGUCUAGUUUGUGCUGUGGCUCAGAGGCCAAAAGGAGCCAUGUGUUCCCAGGCCAGGGUGAGCAAAGCUCCCGUGCAGCCAGUACGUGCUCGAGGCCACACACGAUGACAUCUGUGCAGGAGGAAGAACGACGUUACACCUCGUUGGAGGGGAGGGGGUGAGAACCUGUGCACCGCAAAUCAGACUUGCUCCUAGGAUGGGAAGAGGCAUUAAGAAGUGCUCUACGAUAUGGAAGUGAAGGCACACAGGAAGGGGAGUCCCGAGCAGAAUGAGGUCCUUCAAACUCCAGACGAUGGUCUUCGGUGGAAAGUUGUCAUGGUCUCAAAGGGCAGUGAGAUCACACAUCUCAUUCACAUGCUGACCCAGGGUGCACACAUGAGACACAACUCUUUAUUUUGUCUGCACGCGUUAUGAUUUCUUUUCUGAGGGCUCACUGUGCACUUGCAAACCUAGUCUUGUCUGAUGGUUUAAACAGCCUCUUCCAUGAAUGUUGAGGUCACACGUGAGGCUCUCAGCUGUCCCUGCCUUCUUCCUCCCUCCCUGGGAAGUAGUGUCCUCAGAGAUGGUGUCCGGGCAACUGACGCUGCCUUAUGGCAGAGGGGAGAACUCUGGGUCCUCUGGCUUCUCUGCUUCCUAGAGAAGCUGCCUGCUACCCCCUUGCUAUAGCAGGUGCACAAGUACUCACAUGGGGCUACGCAGUCGACUCCCUGAGGACUAUUUCCAGGUUCUAACCAUGACAUUUAGGAAGCAGAGUGGCCCCUGCAAACUACGUUUUAAAGUCUC
rnacentral:lncRNA from 12 species